UAGAGUUUGAUCCUGGCUCAGAUUGAACGCUGGCGGCAUGCCUAACACAUGCAGAAGAACGGCAGCAUGUCCUAGUUUACUAGGAUGAUGGCGAGUGGCGGACGGGUGGGUAACGCGUAGGAAUAUACCUUAAAGAGGGGGAUAACUUGGGGAAACUCAAGCUAAUACCGCAUAAUUUCCGAGGAAAAAAGCUGGGGACCUUCGGGCCUGGCGCUUUAAGAAUAGCCUGCGUACGAUUAGCUAGUUGGUGGGGUAAGGGCCUACCAAGGCGACGAUCGUUAGCUGGUUUGAGAGAAUGGCCAGCCACACUGGAACUGAGACACGGUCCAGACUCCUACGGGAGGCAGCAGUGGGGAAUAUUGGACAAUGGGGGGAACCCUGAUCCAGCAAUGCCGCGUGUGUGAAGAAGGCCUGAGGGUUGUAAAGCACUUUCAGUGGGGAGGAGGAUAUACAGGUUAAGAGCUAGUAUAUUGGACGUUACCCACAGAAGAAGCACCGGCUAACUCCGUGCCAGCAGCCGCGGUAAUACGGAGGGUGCGAGCGUUAAUCGGAAUUACUGGGCGUAAAGGGUGCGUAGGUGGUUGUGUAAGUUAUCUGUGAAAUCCCUGGGCUUAACCUGGGCAGGUCAGAUAAGACUGCAUGACUCGAGUAUAGGAGAGGGUAGUGGAAUUUCCGGUGUAGCGGUGAAAUGCGUAGAGAUCAGAAGGAACACCAGUGGCGAAGGCGGCUACCUGGCCAGAUACUGACACUGAGGCACGAAAGCGUGGGGAGCAAACAGGAUUAGAUACCCUGGUAGUCCACGCUGUAAACGAUGUCAACUAGCUGUUGGGUAUAUGAAUAUACUAAGUGGCGAAGCAAACGCGAUAAGUUGACCGCCUGGGGAGUACGGUCGCAAGACUAAAACUCAAAGGAGUUGACGGGGG
rnacentral:rRNA from 1 species